rnacentral:rRNA from 1 species
UACGUAGGUGACAAGCGUUGUCCGGAAUCACUGGGCGUAAAGCGCACGUAGGCGGACUCUUAAGUCGGUGGUGAAAUCCUGGAGCUCAACUCCAGAACUGCCUUCGAUACUGGGAGUCUCGAGUCCGGGAGAGGUGAGUGGAACUGCGAGUGUAGAGGUGAAAUUCGUAGAUAUUCGCAAGAACACCAGUGGCGAAGGCGGCUCACUGGCCCGGUACUGACGCUGAGGUGCGAAAGCGUGGGGAGCAAACAGG